rnacentral:piRNA from 1 species
UGAACGGAUCUGUGUUCCUCCAAUGC